rnacentral:tRNA from 1 species
GGAGGGGUGGCAGAGUGGUUGAAUGCGGCGGUCUUGAAAACCGUUGAGGGUUUUCCCUCCGGGGGUUCAAAUCCCUCCCCCUCCGCCA